rnacentral:rRNA from 1 species
CACGGUGGAUGCCUUGGCACUAGGAGCCGAAGAAGGACGGGACUAACACCGAUAUGCUUUGGGGAGCUGUACGUAAGCGUUGAUCCAGAGAUUUCCGAAUGGGGGAACCCACUAUCUUUAGUCGGAUAGUAUCCUUACGUGAAUACAUAGCGUGAGGAAGGCAGACCCAGGGAACUGAAACAUCUAAGUACCUGGAGGAAGAGAAAGAAAAAUCGAUUUCCUGAGUAGCGGCGAGCGAAACGGAAAGAGCCCAAACCAAGAAGCUUGCUUCUUGGGGUUGUAGGACACUCUAUACGGAGUUACAAAAGAAAGUUAUAAAUGAAGCGGUCUGGAAAGGCCCGCCAAAGACGGUAACAGCCCGGUAGUUGAAAUGGCUUUCCCUCCAGAGUGGAUCCUGAGUACGGCGGA